GUUUUGAUCAUGGCUCAGGAUGAACGCUAGCGGCAGGCCUAAUACAUGCAAGUCGAACGGAUAUAUGUUUUUCGGAAUAUAUAUUAGUGGCGCACGGGUGAGUAACACGUACAUAACUUGCCCUCAAGCGGGGGAUAGCCUUGGGAAACUGAGAGUAAUACCCCAUAGAAUUAUUGGACGGCAUCGUUUGAUAAUUAAAACUACGGUGCUUGGGGAUAGAUGUGCGUCUGAUUAGCUAGUUGGUGAGGUAACUGCUCACCAAGGCGACGAUCAGUAGGGGGCGUGAGAGCGUGGCCCCCCACACGGGUACUGAGACACGGACCCGACUCCUACGGGAGGCAGCAGUAAGGAAUAUUGGUCAAUGGAGGGAACUCUGAACCAGCCAUGCCGCGUGAAGGAUGACGGCCCUCUGGGUUGUAAACUUCUUUUGGAUGGGGCGAAAAAACGGGAUUUAUCCUGGACUGACGGUACCAUCAGAAUAAGCACCGGCUAACUCCGUG
rnacentral:rRNA from 1 species